GACGAACGCUGGCGGCGUGCCUAAUACAUGCAAGUAGAACGCAGUUGCGAACGGGUGAGUAAAGCGUAGGUAACUGCCUGGUAGCGGGGGAUAAAUAUUGGAAACGAUAGCUAAUACCGCAUACUACCAGAUGGACCUGCGUUGUAUUAGCUAGUGUGUGAGGUAACGGCUAACCAAGGCAACGAUAAAUAGCCGACCUGGGAUGGGGGUCGGCCAAACUGGGACGGGUACACGGCCCAGACUCCUACGGGAGGCAUCAGUAGGGAAGCUUCGGCAAUGGGGGGAACCCUGACCGAGCAACGCCGCGUGAGUGAAGAAGGUUUUCGGAUCGUAAAGCGCUGUUGUUAAGGAAGCGGUACUUAACCAGAAAGGGACGGCUAACUACGUGCCAGCAGCCGCGGUAAUAC
rnacentral:rRNA from 1 species